GGCGGUAUGGUAUAGUGGUUUGAGUGCUGGACUAGGGCGCCAGAAGACCAGGGUUCAAAUCCCUGCUUGGCCA